CCGCGGCGGGUCGGUUAGGCGCGCGCAGUUUGAAGGUGCGGGGCUCGCGCGGUGGCUGGGUGGGAGGUGUGAGUUGCUCUUCGCAGUGCUUGGGCUGGGGCUCCUCUCAGUUCGGCGGGGCUCCGGGGGCUGCCGGCUCCUCUCGGGCGCUCCUACCGCCGCCGCUCACGCCUCUGGGGCGGCCUCUGGCACCGUCUCCGGCACCUGGGAGUCGCAACCCGUCCAUUGGGGUGGGCCGGGAGAGCGCCGGCUCGGCUGGCGCGUCCCGUGUCUCAGCCGCUACCCUGUGGGAUCUGAAGGCCAGAAGCGAGGCAGCGAAGCACAGAACUCCGCCAGCUCCUUUCUCACGAGCUCUUGCAUGUUCUUCCCAGGACGUCCUGUGGCAACAUAAAAGCAAACGCUUACGGCAACAUUGAUUCUGAGAAAUGGACAACAGCAUUUUUCAAGUUUAUGAAGAUGAAAUCCAGUCACUGGAAGAAGAAAUUACACUAUUGGCUGAGAAGUAUGAAGAUAGCCAACAAGAAACCACCUUUUUUUCUGACAAGGAGAUAUUGAUGUCAAUAAAAUCAUUCCAAAGAGAAUUUCUGGGAGAAUCCGAAGGACAUGAAUCUUCAUCAAACCUGAAAGCUCUACUUGAAAGUCUAGAGACAGAUCUCUCAUUUUUAAUGAAAUUUACUGGUAUUCAGUUCACAAGUCAUUCCAAGAAAACAGUGGAAAAAACUAGAAACAGAACAGUGCGGAAGCACAGACUGUCAGGGAAUUGCCACUCCCUGUCUUUUCAAUUGGAAUUCCAGCUUCUUGAAAUGCAGAACAAAGAUAAUGUGGCUGCUGUUGUUACUGAUCUCAGCAUUGCAAUGGAAUUUGGAGAAGAUUCAGAUUUGAGCAAGUUUGUGUCAAGCACUGAAGAACACGGAAAUCUUUUAAUGUUUUUCAGAAGCUUUUCAUCUUAUGCUCAGUGGCGUAAACAUCGUAGAUGCACCUUCCUACAUUUCAAGAGCAAAUACCCUGAUGUUGUGACACUUCCGGAGGGACUGCUGGGAGAUUAUAUAAUUCUAAGGAACCUCAAACUUCCUGGGUUUGAAUUACUGAUAGUUUGGAAGAUACACAUAGAUGAAGAAGGAAGAACUCUGCCUGUUCUGGACCUUCUAACUAAAGUUCCGGAGCAAGUCUUGGAGCAGAAGAUGGCAACUAUUGAAAAUGCACCCACCCGCUUCCGGAGCAUGCUGCUUCUGUUUGGCAUUGAGACAGCUAUAGAGAAUCUGAUCAAAGUAGUUGCCUUGGAAAAUUGAAUACCAGCAUUUCUUACAACAGGUUAGAAAUUCAGAAUAUGCAAUUCCAUGAAGGAAGGCUGUUUACAACAUAACAAGAGAGAACAAAUGGUUGUGUCUGCAUAGAGCCCCUCCUAUCUGCACACCAACUUAAUCAGCACUGAAAAGAAAAGCCCUCAAGUCUUACCUCUCUUCAGGAAAUUCCUCUAAGUACUGUUCAACUCUGCUGUACAAAGGGUAGAGUCCUUCAAUAUCCAGCAUGUCCAGCAUCUGAGCCUGAAGGGUUUUAUAAAGGAGACAACCCCUUGCUUCCCACAGAACUUGUUCCAUCUCUCACUGAACAGAUCCACACCCAGCAACUCAGGCAUGUAUCCCCACCUACUAUCUUUAGUCAUACCAGAGAUUUAAGCAACAACAUGCGAGUUUCAACAGGAAAGCAAGGCUAGAAUAGCAAAGCAAACUGCAGUGAAAGGAAAGCAGGACAACUACUUAAAAAAAAAAAACCCAAACAACACAUUACCUUUAGAUGCUGGUGCAUACAGUAACGACACACCUUGUGCUUUAUCUCCUGUGAAACAUGGCUGGAAAAAGGAAUGAAGCCACAUUUUGGCUAAAACAAAGAAACAAAAAAGAUUACAAAUAUAAAUGUAUUUCUUUAUAUAAAUAUAAAGGCACAUGAUAUGCAAAUCUCUUCUGUUUAAGGAAACUAAAAACAAACAAACCAGUCAAGAUCCAACACUUAAAAGCUUAAUAUAUGUCACUGUAUAUUAUUUUCCCAAUUAGUUUAGAGUCCUCACUUAAGGACACACAAAACUAUUGCAGCCUACAAAAGUAGUCUAGUAAUAUCUGGGAAUUUCUCAAGUUUUGAAAGAUCAGGAAUUGGAAGGGGGAGGGGGAUAUUUCAUCCUGUGGGUCACAGUGAAAGCUGUGAGCUCUGCCUUAUGCCUUAUGCCACUGCCACACUCCUUUAAAACUGCUCUGAUCAGUAUGUGCUUAAAAACGCAAAACAAACCCCUCAGAAGGUUCUUCUCCCUUUCAAUACCUUAAUUUCUAUGCAGAGGAUUGGCCGGUGUUCCACAAAACGAUAGGUCUGCAGCCUGGUAAGAUUAGGAAGGCACAUUGCAUAACCACUAAGAGUGUCCAUAUCUUUAUCACAGCGAGACUCUGGAGAAAACAAACAAAAACACAAACAAGAAAGUUAGGUGUGUGGGUGUUUAUUUUACCCUGUAGUUGUCCUCUGCACCAGGUGUGGGGGAUCAGAACAAACUUAGGUAGACAGGACACAGUUUAGCAGGCUUUACCCAAUCAUACACUUGCAUAAAUUUGCCUUCCCCAUUACCAACACCUGUUUUCAGUUUCCUCAAAACUAUCAUAAGCACAUAGAGUGCCUCAAGAGCUGCUUUUAACAGCUGGUUUCCAGUAUCAGUGAGAGGCCUGAAACAGCAACAGAGUGCACUCAGUUGGCCAACAAGAGGUAAAGAGACUACUGUAUUCAAAGGUGCCAUCUCACCUUUGCUUACUAGAACUGCAGGAACUACCAUCCCUCAGUCUAGUCAAGAGGAACCUGUGAAAACUGGCAGAAAUAUCAUAAAAUGUUCAGAAGUUCAGGAGAAAGUGUAAAUCUAAGCAGAACCUGCAAGUGGCUUCACUCAACUCCUUAUCUGUAUGCAGUCUCUUCUUAGCCAUUCCGGCGCUUACAUCAACAUAAUUACAAGGUGAAAAGGAACAUAGAAGGAACAAAAGUUAACUUCCCCCUCCUCACAAGCUCUCAACUUCAAACAAGAAUUUUCUCUGCUAAGACCACCCUUUUAAAAAUGGCAUUUUUUAAUAUAGUCCGGAUUAAUGAUCCUGAGAAGAAACAAAGUAGCACAAUGGUUUCAGACUAAGAUUAAGAGGCAUUAUAUAGAUAAAACCUUUAAAUAAUCUCCCUCCACAUGCAUCCUUUGGAACAAAGGUCUGCAAGAUUUUAGUUCAAAUUUAAUAAGCACAUACUCCUAGAUUUUCAGAUAUCUGUGUUACUGAACAGACAUAUGGAAUACGUAUGUUCUGUUAUAGUUUCUGUUGGUAAGAAAAAUGCCCAUUCUAAAAAAUAUUACAAUAGAAAAACAAAAUCUAAGAAACAGGACCCUCAUUAGGCAUCAGCCUGCAAUUACAUGCUGUACUUCACUAGGACAAGCAAGAAGAAAUCUUUCUCCAACAAAACACUGGGGUUUGUUUUUUUUUUUCUAAACUCAAGCAAAAGUACAUCCAUGUUCAUCUGAGAGCCACUUGUCAAAUCAGACAGACCCAGAAAUCAGAAGUAUUAGAGGAAUUCCACACCGGUUUAUGUGAAAGAUAAUAUUAAAGGAAAUUCUUUCCUCAAGGUUUAAAAAAAAAUUCCUGUUAAGAACAAACAGCGAGAUUUGCUGCCGUAAAGCAAGAAAUACCAGUUGGACAGCUGCUCACAUCCACAUUUCUUCCUCUAAAGAAAACCGCAGGAGCUGUGGACGCACAAAAUUUAAGAAAUAAAACUGAAUUCUAUCAUUCA